UCCUACGGGGCGCAGCAGUGAGGAAUAUUGGUCAAUGGCCGCAGGGCUGAACCAGCCAAGUCGCGUGAGGGAUGACGGUCCUAUGGAUUGUAAACCUCUUUUGUCGGGGAACAAAGGCGCCCACGGGUGGGCGGAUGAGUGUACCCGAAGAAAAAGCAUCGGCUAACUCCGUGCCAGCAGCCGCGGUAAUACGGAGGAUGCGAGCGUUAUCCGGAUUUAUUGGGUUUAAGGGUGCGUAGGCGGGAUGCCAAGUCAGCGGUAAAAAUGCGGUGCUCAACGCCGUCGAGCCGUUGAAACUGGCGUUC
rnacentral:rRNA from 1 species